rnacentral:snRNA from 1 species
AUACUUACCUGGCGUAGGGGAUACCGUGAUCAUGCAGGCGGCUCCCCCAAGGCGAGGCUGCUCCAUUGCACGGCGGAGUGGUUGUAACACUUGCGAUUAUUUUUAUUUUUAUCAAUAAAAAAAUCAUAAUAAAAAAUAUAUGUAUACCCGAAUAAUUAUUUUCUUU